rnacentral:rRNA from 1 species
AGUGAACGCUGGCGGUAGGCCUAACACAUGCAAGUCGAACGGCAGCACAGUAAGAGCUUGCUCUUACGGGUGGCGAGUGGCGGACGGGUGAGGAAUACAUCGGAAUCUACUUUUUCGUGGGGGAUAACGUAGGGAAACUUACGCUAAUACCGCAUACGACCUACGGGUGAAAGCAGGGGAUCUUCGGACCUUGCGCGAUUGAAUGAGCCGAUGUCGGAUUAGCUAGUUGGCGGGGUAAAGGCCCACCAAGGCGACGAUCCGUAGCUGGUCUGAGAGGAUGAUCAGCCACACUGGAACUGAGACACGGUCCAGACUCCUACGGGAGGCAGCAGUGGGGAAUAUUGGACAAUGGGCGAAAGCCUGAUCCAGCAAUGCCGCGUGGGUGAAGAAGGCCUUCGGGUUGUAAAGCCCUUUUGUUGGGAAAGAAAAGCAGCAGGUGAAUACACCGCUGUUCUGGCGGUACCCAAAGAAUAAGCACCGGCUAACUUCGUG